CUACUGGGGUAUUGAAUUAAGGGUGUCAAUGUUCGACGACAUAAUUACUAUUCUAUUACAGAAUUCCUAUCCAAUUCAAUAUAACUAUCUGCCCUUCAGUCUUAAAGGAUUUUGUACUGAAAUCUUUAACUACACUUAACGACAAUUAAUGUUUGAUAUUUUAAUCUUUAGGAGCCAGGAACUCCAAUAUACGGUCAGGUAAAG
rnacentral:lncRNA from 1 species